AACUGAUACUACCUGCGGGAACCUGCGGAGGGAUCAUUAACGUGCCCCCGGGGGCGCCGGCGGUCCCCGGAACUCCGGGGCCGGCCGGGCGUCCCUAAGGCCCAUCCGUGUUUACUUUACCUGUUGCCUCGGCGGGCUCCCGGGUGUUGCUUCGGCACGCUCCGGGGUCCCGCCCGCCGAAGGCCCCCCCGAACCUCUGGUGAACGUUGGCGGUCUGAGUGGGCUUGUAAAUCGUUAAAA
rnacentral:misc_RNA from 1 species